UACAACUAUAUAGAGGUGUUUUUGUCGAACUAAAUUAAAUUAAUCGUUAAUAAAUCGAGAUAGUAGGAUAGUUGAGAUACGCGAGAUAUCAGACUACGGGAAUGUUUUUUCCCCUUUUCUUCCUCUCUUCUUGGUUUUCUUUUAUAAUAAUUCUCUCAUGCAGAUUGUUCGACGGUUGCAGUAUGGGUUGUUAUAUCUCGUAGGCG
rnacentral:lncRNA from 1 species